UUGGAACCGGGAGAGGUAAGAGGUACUACAGGGGUAGGAGUGAAAUCUUGUAAUCCCCCGUGGGACCACCUGUGGCGAAGGCGUCUUACCAGAACGGGUUCGACGGUGAGGGACGAAGCUGGGGGCACGAACCGGAUUAGAUACCCGGGUAGUCCCAGCCGUAAACGAUGCUCGCUAGGUGUCAGGCAUGGCGCGACCGUGUCUGGUGCCGCAGGGAAGCCGUGAAGCGAGCCACCUGGGAAGUACGGCCGCAAGGCUGAAACUUAAAGGAAUUGGCGGGGGAGCACAACAACGGGUGGAAGCCUGCGGUUUAAUUGGACUCAACGCCGGACAACUCACCGGGGGCGACAGCAAUAUGUAGGCCAAGCUGAAGACUUUGCCUGAAUCGCUGAGAAGUGGUGCAUGG
rnacentral:rRNA from 1 species